AGCUGUUCCCCUCUGGAGGUUUGAAACCUUCACAACUGAAAGGGCCCAAGUUUUCUUGUGGCCCUCUUUUUUUGCACGU
rnacentral:sRNA from 20 species